rnacentral:rRNA from 1 species
GCAAGUCGAACGCGAACGUUUCCUUCGGAGAAGCGAGUAGAGUGGCGCACGGGUGAGUAACGCGUAAGUUAUCUACCCUCCCAUCUGGAAUAACUCACCGAAAGGUGUGCUAAUACCGGAUACGUUGAUUUAUCAAGAAAGGUGGCCUCUGAUUAAAGCUACCGUGGGGGGAUGAGCUUGCGUACCAUUAGCUAGUUGGUAGGGUAAUGGCCUACCAAGGCAACGAUGGUUAGCGGGUCUGAGAGGAUGAUC